rnacentral:rRNA from 1 species
GACGAACGCUUGCGGCGUGCCUAAUACAUGCAAGUAGAACGCUGAAGAAGGAGCUUGCUUCUCUGGAUGAGUUGCGAACGGGUGAGUAACGCGUAGGUAACCUGCCUGGUAGCGGGGGAUAACUAUUGGAAACGAUAGCUAAUACCGCAUAAUAGUAGAUGUUGCAUGACAUUUGCUUAAAAGGUGCAAUUGCAUCACUACCAGAUGGACCUGCGUUGUAUUAGCUAGUUGGUGAGGUAACGGCUCACCAAGGCGACGAUACAUAGCCGACCUGAGAGGGUGAUCGGCCACACUGGGACUGAGACACGGCCCAGACUCCUACGGGAGGCAGCAGUAGGGAAUCUUCGGCAAUGGACGGAAGUCUGACCGAGCAACGCCGCGUGAGUGAGGAAGGUUUUCGGAUCGUAAAGCUCUGUUGUAAGAGAAGAACGAGUGUGAGAGUGGAAAGUUCACACUGUGACGGUAUCUUACCAGAAAGGGGGCUAAC